rnacentral:rRNA from 1 species
GACGAUGAACCACCUUCGGGUGGGGAUUAGUGGCGAACGGGUGAGUAACACGUGGGCAAUCUGCCCUGCACUCUGGGACAAGCCCUGGAAACGGGGUCUAAUACCGGAUACGACACUCUCGGGCAUCCGAUGAGUGUGGAAAGCUCCGGCGGUGCAGGAUGAGCCCGCGGCCUAUCAGCUUGUUGGUGAGGUAACGGCUCACCAAGGCGACGACGGGUAGCCGGCCUGAGAGGGCGACCGGCCACACUGGGACUGAGACACGGCCCAGACUCCUACGGGAGGCAGCAGUGGGGAAUAUUGCACAAUGGGCGCAAGCCUGAUGCAGCGACGCCGCGUGAGGGAUGACGGCCUUCGGGUUGUAAACCUCUUUCAGCAGGGAAGAAGCGAGAGUGACGGUACCUGCAGAAGAAGCGCCGGCUAACUACGUGCCAGCAGCCGCGGUAAUACGUAGGGCGCGAGCGUUGUCCGGAAUUAUUGGGCGUAAAGAGCUCGUAGGCGGCUUGUCGCGUCGGUUGUGAAAGCCCGGGGCUUAACCCCGGGUCUGCAGUCGAUACGGGCAGGCUAGAGUUCGGUAGGGGAGAUCGGAAUUCCUGGUGUAGCGGUGAAAUGCGCAGAUAUCAGGAGGAACACCGGUGGCGAAGGCGGAUCUCUGGGCCGAUACUGACGCUGAG